rnacentral:rRNA from 1 species
AACCGACACAGGUAGUCAAGAUGAGAAUUCUAAGGUGAGCGAGCGAACUCUCGUUAAGGAACUCGGCAAAAUGACCCCGUAACUUCGGGAGAAGGGGUGCUCUUUAGGGUUAACGCCCAGAAGAGCCGCAGUGAAUAGGCCCAAGCGACUGUUUAUCAAAAACACAGGUCUCUGCUAAACCGUAAGGUGAUGUAUAGGGGCUGACGCCUGCCCGGUGCUGGAAGGUUAAGAGGAGUGGUUAGCUUCUGCGAAGCUACGAAUCGAAGCCCCAGUA